AUGAACUCUCACGAGGAAAUCCACCAAUUCUUGGGACUUUGGGAGAAGGUCCAAAAUGUGCAACUAUCAACCUCCAGAGAUAGCAUUGCCUGGCAUCUGUCGGCUGAUGGUUCAUACUCGGCCAAAUCUGCGUACCAUGCACAGUUCCUUGGGCGCUUGCACCAACCAGAGCUGGCCAGUGUUUGGAAGGUGAAAACGGAUAGGAAAAUAAGGUUUUUCCUUUGGCUUCUGCUUCAGAACAGAAACUGGACUGCGGACAGAUUGCUUUUGCGCGGAUGGCCACAUGAUCCAAAGUGUAAACUAUGUGACUUGGUGAUUGAAACAGCGGCACAUCUCUCUUUUCAGUGCCCUUAUGUGAGGCAGGUGUGGCUUUCGCUGAGCGCUACUCAUGCUGACCUCACAGCUACAGCGUUGGCUGCCUCCUCGGUGAACUCCUGGUGGGGCGCUUUGCUCCAGCUCAAGCCCAACAAAACAAGGAACAACUCGCUCUCCAUGGCAUCUUUCGCUCUUUGGAACAUCUGGCUCGAAAGGAACAGAAGAACCUUCGAUGGAAAGUGCACUUCGGCAGCUGAUGUUGCCAGGCUUGCUAGUGAUGACUUUCGCCUCUUAGUUGAGGCAUGUGGGGGUUAG
rnacentral:rRNA from 1 species